UUAAGCGACUAAGCGUACACGGUGGAUGCCCUGGCAGUCAGAGGCGAUGAAGGACGUGCUAAUCUGCGAUAAGCGUCGGUAAGGUGAUAUGAACCGUUAUAACCGGCGAUUUCCGAAUGGGGAAACCCAGUGUGAUUCGUCACACUAUCAUUAACUGAAUCCAUAGGUUAAUGAGGCGAACCGGGGGAACUGAAACAUCUAAGUACCCCGAGGAAAAGAAAUCAACCGAGAUUCCCCCAGUAGCGGCGAGCGAACGGGGAGCAGCCCAGAGCCUGAAUCAGUGUGUGUGUUAGUGGAAGCGUCUGGAAAGGCGCGCGAUACAGGGUGACAGCCCCGUACACAAAAAUGCACAUGCUGUGAGCUCGAUGAGUAGGGCGGGACACGUGGUAUCCUGUCUGAAUAUGGGGGGACCAUCCUCCAAGGCUAAAUACUCCUGACUGACCGAUAGUGAACCAGUACCGUGAGGGAAAGGCGAAAAGAACCCCGGCGAGGGGAGUGAAAAAGAACCUGAAACCGUGUACGUACAAGCAGUGGGAGCCUCUUUAUGGGGUGACUGCGUACCUUUUGUAUAAUGGGUCAGCGACUUAUAUUCUGUAGCAAGGUUAACCGAAUAGGGGAGCCGAAGGGAAACCGAGUCUUAACUGGGCGUUAAGUUGCAGGGUAUAGACCCGAAACCCGGUGAUCUAGCCAUGGGCAGGUUGAAGGUUGGGUAACACUAACUGGAGGACCGAACCGACUAAUGUUGAAAAAUUAGCGGAUGACUUGUGGCUGGGGGUGAAAGGCCAAUCAAACCGGGAGAUAGCUGGUUCUCCCCGAAAGCUAUUUAGGUAGCGCCUCGUGAAUUCAUCUCCGGGGGUAGAGCACUGUUUCGGCAAGGGGGUCAUCCCGACUUACCAACCCGAUGCAAACUGCGAAUACCGGAGAAUGUUAUCACGGGAGACACACGGCGGGUGCUAACGUCCGUCGUGAAGAGGGAAACAACCCAGACCGCCAGCUAAGGUCCCAAAGUCAUGGUUAAGUGGGAAACGAUGUGGGAAGGCCCAGACAGCCAGGAUGUUGGCUUAGAAGCAGCCAUCAUUUAAAGAAAGCGUAAUAGCUCACUGGUCGAGUCGGCCUGCGCGGAAGAUGUAACGGGGCUAAACCAUGCACCGAAGCUGCGGCAGCGACACUAUGUGUUGUUGGGUAGGGGAGCGUUCUGUAAGCCUGCGAAGGUGUGCUGUGAGGCAUGCUGGAGGUAUCAGAAGUGCGAAUGCUGACAUAAGUAACGAUAAAGCGGGUGAAAAGCCCGCUCGCCGGAAGACCAAGGGUUCCUGUCCAACGUUAAUCGGGGCAGGGUGAGUCGACCCCUAAGGCGAGGCCGAAAGGCGUAGUCGAUGGGAAACAGGUUAAUAUUCCUGUACUUGGUGUUACUGCGAAGGGGGGACGGAGAAGGCUAUGUUGGCCGGGCGACGGUUGUCCCGGUUUAAGCGUGUAGGCUGGUUUUCCAGGCAAAUCCGGAAAAUCAAGGCUGAGGCGUGAUGACGAGGCACUACGGUGCUGAAGCAACAAAUGCCCUGCUUCCAGGAAAAGCCUCUAAGCACCAGGUAACAUCAAAUCGUACCCCAAACCGACACAGGUGGUCAGGUAGAGAAUACCAAGGCGCUUGAGAGAACUCGGGUGAAGGAACUAGGCAAAAUGGUGCCGUAACUUCGGGAGAAGGCACGCUGAUAUGUAGGUGAAGUCCCUCGCGGAUGGAGCUGAAAUCAGUCGAAGAUACCAGCUGGCUGCAACUGUUUAUUAAAAACACAGCACUGUGCAAACACGAAAGUGGACGUAUACGGUGUGACGCCUGCCCGGUGCCGGAAGGUUAAUUGAUGGGGUCAGCGCAAGCGAAGCUCUUGAUCGAAGCCCCGGUAAACGGCGGCCGUAACUAUAACGGUCCUAAGGUAGCGAAAUUCCUUGUCGGGUAAGUUCCGACCUGCACGAAUGGCGUAAUGAUGGCCAGGCUGUCUCCACCCGAGACUCAGUGAAAUUGAACUCGCUGUGAAGAUGCAGUGUACCCGCGGCAAGACGGAAAGACCCCGUGAACCUUUACUAUAGCUUGACACUGAACAUUGAGCCUUGAUGUGUAGGAUAGGUGGGAGGCUUUGAAGUGUGGACGCCAGUCUGCAUGGAGCCGACCUUGAAAUACCACCCUUUAAUGUUUGAUGUUCUAACGUGGACCCGUAAUCCGGGUUGCGGACAGUGUCUGGUGGGUAGUUUGACUGGGGCGGUCUCCUCCUAAAGAGUAACGGAGGAGCACGAAGGUUGGCUAAUCCUGGUCGGACAUCAGGAGGUUAGUGCAAUGGCAUAAGCCAGCUUGACUGCGAGCGUGACGGCGCGAGCAGGUGCGAAAGCAGGUCAUAGUGAUCCGGUGGUUCUGAAUGGAAGGGCCAUCGCUCAACGGAUAAAAGGUACUCCGGGGAUAACAGGCUGAUACCGCCCAAGAGUUCAUAUCGACGGCGGUGUUUGGCACCUCGAUGUCGGCUCAUCACAUCCUGGGGCUGAAGUAGGUCCCAAGGGUAUGGCUGUUCGCCAUUUAAAGUGGUACGCGAGCUGGGUUUAGAACGUCGUGAGACAGUUCGGUCCCUAUCUGCCGUGGGCGCUGGAGAACUGAGGGGGGCUGCUCCUAGUACGAGAGGACCGGAGUGGACGCAUCACUGGUGUUCGGGUUGUCAUGCCAAUGGCACUGCCCGGUAGCUAAAUGCGGAAGAGAUAAGUGCUGAAAGCAUCUAAGCACGAAACUUGCCCCGAGAUGAGUUCUCCCUGACCCUUUAAGGGUCCUGAAGGAACGUUGAAGACGACGACGUUGAUAGGCCGGGUGUGUAAGCGCAGCGAUGCGUUGAGCUAACCGGUACUAAUGAACCGUGAGGCUUAACCUU
rnacentral:rRNA from 1 species